GACGAACCGUGCGAACGUUAUUCGGAAUCACUGGGCUUAAAGGGCGCGUAGGCGGUCCCUCAAGUCAGGGGUGAAAUCCUCCAGCUCAACUGGAGAAGUGCCUUUGAUACUGGGGGCCUCGAGGGAGGUAGGGGCGUGCGGAACUUCCGGUGGAGCGGUGAAAUGCGUAGAUAUCAGGAGGAACACCAAUGGCGAAGGCAGCUCGCUGGGACGUGACUGACGCUGAGACGCGAAAGCGUGGGGAGCAAACAGG
rnacentral:rRNA from 1 species